rnacentral:rRNA from 1 species
UGUGCUCCAUGUUGGCUCUCUUCGCUACUUAGUUGGUGCGUUGAGGCUUAUGUGGUGUUAUAACCUAAUUCAGAUUGUGAAACUGCGAAUGGCUUAUUAAAUUAGUUAUAGUUUAUUUAAUGGCAUCUACUACUCGGAUAACCAUAGUAAUACUAAAGUUAAUAUGUGCAGAAACCCCAACUUCUAAAAGGGAUGCAUUUAUUAGAUAAAGGGUCAACGCGAGCUUUGCCCAUUGUUUUGAUGAUUCAUGAUAACUUCAUGGAUUACGUGGCCUUUAUGCUGUGCUAGCAACACAUCAUUCAAAUUUUUGCCCUAUGAAGUUUUGAUGCUAGGAUUGUGGUCUAUUAUGGUGAUGAUGGGUGAUGGAGAGUUAGGGUUUGAUUCUGGAGAGAGAGCCUGAGAAAUAGCUACCACAUCCAAAGAAGGUAGUAGGAGCAAAAACUACCCAAUCUUGACAUAGGGAGUUAGUGACAAUAAAUAACAAUAUUGAGCUUUAUUAGUCUAGCAAUUGGAAUGACUACAAUCUAAAUCUUUUAGCAAGGACCAUUGGAGGGCAAGUCUGGUGCCAGUAGCCAUAGUAAUUCUAGCUCAUAGCAUAAAUUUAAGUUUUUGCAGUUAAAAAGCUCAUAGUUACAGCUAGGGUUAAGUCAUCUGGUCUACCUCACAAUAAGCAUCGAUUUACUUGUCCCUACUACUUGCGAUGUGCCCUUGGCCUUAACUGGCUGGGUCAUUCCUCCAACACUGCUACUUUGAAGAAAUUAGAGUGCUUAAAGCAGGCCCUUGCUUGUAUGCAUUAGCAUGGGAUAACAUCAUAGGAUUUUAGUCCUAUUGCGUUGGCUUUCCAGAUCAAAGUAAUGAUUAACAGAGACAAUCAGGGGCAUUUGUAUUUCAUAGUCAAAGGUGAAAUUCUUGGAUUUAUAAGAGAUGAACAACUAUAAAAGCAUUUACCAAGGAUAUUUUUAUUAAUCAAGAAUAAAAGUUGAGGGCUAAAACAUGAUCAGAUACCAUCCUAGUCUCUACCAUAAAUGAUGUCGACUAGAGAUCAAUGGAUGUUACUUUUAGGACUCCGUUGGUAGUUUCAGGGGGAAUAUGGUCGUAGGACUAAAACUUAAAGGAAUUGAUAGAAGGGCAACAUUAGAAGUGGAGCCUAUAGCUUAAUUUCACUCAGCACGGGGAAACUUAUUCGGUCUACACAUAGUAAGGAUUGACAGAUUGAGAGCUUUUUAUUAAUUCUAUGGGUGGUGGUGCAUGGUCGUUUUUAGUUGGUAGAGUGCUUUGUCUAGUUAAUUCUGUUAAUGAAUAAGAUCUCAACCUACUAACUAGCUACACAGAGGUGAUUCUUCAUGGCUAGCUUCUUAAAGGGACUAUAGCCAUUUAGGCCAAGGAAGUUUAAGGGAAUAACAGGUCUAUGACACCUAUAGAUGUUUUGGGCUACUUAUACACUACACUUAUGUAUUGAACAAGUCUAUAGCCUUGGCUGAUAGGCUCAAGUAAUCUUUGAAAUUUCAUCAUGAUGGGGAUAGAUCAUUGCAAUUGUUAGUCUUUAAUGAGAAAUUCCUAGUAAGCGUGAGUCUUCAGCUCAUGUUGACUAUGUCUUGCCCUUUGUAGACACCACCUAUUGCUCUUACUGAUUGAAUGGUUCAGUGAAGUGUUUGGAUCAUGGUGAUAUAGAUGGUUCAUUGCCAGAGAUGUUGUAAGAAGUCCAUUGAACCUUAUCAUUCAAAGAAAGGAGAAGUUGUAACAAGGUUUUCAUAGGUGAAACUAUAAAAG